rnacentral:rRNA from 1 species
CAUGCAAGUCGAGGGGUAACAGGGAGCUUGCUCCGCUGACGACCGGCGCACGGGUGCGCACCGCGUAUGGAACCUACCUUGUACAGGGGAAUAGCCCAGGGAAACUUGGAUUAAUGCCCCGUGGUACCAUGACCCGGCAUCGGGAUAUGGUUAAAGCCUUCGGGCGGUACAAGAUGGCCAUGCGUCCCAUUAGUUUGUUGGUAAGGUAACGGCUUACCAAGACUACGAUGGGUAGGGGCCCUGAGAGGGGGAUCCCCCACACUGGUACUGAGACACGGACCAGACUCCUACGGGAGGCAGCAGUGAGGAAUAUUGGACAAUGGAGGAGACUCUGAUCCAGCCAUGCCGCGUGCAGGAAGAAUGCCCUAUGGGUAGUAAACUGCUUUUAUACGGGAAGAAAAAGAGCUACGUGUAGCUUACUGACGGUACCGUAAGAAUAAGGACCGGCUAACUCCGUGCCAGCAGCCGCGGUAAUACGGAGGGUCCGAGCGUUAUCCGGAAUUAUUGGGUUUAAAGGGUCCGUAGGCGGGCCGAUAAGUCAGGGGUGAAAGUCUGCCGCUCAACGGUAGAACUGCCUUUGAUACUGUCGGUCUUGAGUUAUAGUGAAGUUGCCGGAAUAUGUAGUGUAGCGGUGAAAUGCAUAGAUAUUACAUAGAACACCGAUUGCGAAGGCAGGUGACUAACUAUAUACUGACGCUGAUGGACGAAAGCGUGGGGAGCGAACAGGAUUAGAUACCCUGGUAGUCCACGCCGUAAACGAUGGAUACUAGCUGUCCGGAACCUUGAGUUCUGGGCGGCCAAGCGAAAGUGAUAAGUAUCCCACCUGGGGAGUACGUUCGCAAGAAUGAAACUCAAAGGAAUUGACGGGGGCCCGCACAAGCGGUGGAGCAUGUGGUUUAAUUCGAUGAUACGCGAGGAACCUUACCAGGGCUUAAAUGCAUAUUGACAGGUCUAGAGAUAGAUUUUCCUUCGGGCAAUUUGCAAGGUGCUGCAUGGUUGUCGUCAGCUCGUGCCGUGAGGUGUCAGGUUAAGUCCUAUAACGAGCGCA